rnacentral:rRNA from 1 species
GGGNGAAAGCCUGAUCCAGCCAUUCCGCGUGAGUGAAGAAGGCCUUCGGGUUGUAAAGNUCUUUCGCAAGGGAAGAACACUUACUUUCUAAUAAAGAGUGAGGUUGACGGUNCCUUGAUAAGAAGCACCGGCUAACUACGUGCCAGCAGCCGCGGUAAUACGUAGGGUGCGAGCGUUAAUCGGAAUUACUGGGCGUAAAGCGUGCGCAGGCGGUUUUGUAAGUCAGAUGUGAAAUCCCCGAGCUCAACUUGGGAACUGCGUUUGAAACUACAAGACUAGAAUAUGUCAGAGGGGGGUAGAAUUCCACGUGUAGCAGUGAAAUGCGUAGAGAUGUGGAGGAAUACCAAUGGCGAAGGCAGCCCCCUGGGAUAAUAUUGACGCUCAUGCACGAAAGCGUGGGGAGCAAACAGGAUUAGAUACCCUGGUAGUCCACGCCCUAAACGAUGUCUACUAGUUGUUGGUGGAGUAAAAUCCAUGAGUAACG